GGCUCAAUGGUCUAGAGGUAUGAUUCUCGCUUUGGGUUUACGUCAAGUACGCCGACUCUCCUGCGAGAGGCCCCGGGUUCGAUCCCCGGUUGAGCCC